rnacentral:rRNA from 1 species
CCUACGGGCGGCAGCAGUGGGGAAUAUUGGACAAUGGGGGCAACCCUGAUCCAGCCAUGCCGCGUGUGUGAAGAAGGCCCUCGGGUUGUAAAGCACUUUCAGUGAGGAAGAACGCCUGGUGGUUAAUACACAUCAGGAAAGACAUCACUCACAGAAGAAGCACCGGCUAACUCCGUGCCAGCAGCCGCGGUAAUACGGAGGGUGCGAGCGUUAAUCGGAAUUACUGGGCGUAAAGCGCGCGUAGGUGGCUUGAUAAGCCGGUUGUGAAAGCCCCGGGCUCAACCUGGGAACGGCAUCCGGAACUGUCAAGCUAGAGUGCAGGAGAGGAAGGUAGAAUUCCCUGUGUAGCGGUGAAAUGCGUAGAGAUCGGGAGGAAUACCAGUGGCGAAGGCGGCCUUCUGGACUGACACUGACACUGAGGUGCGAAAGCGUGGGUAGCAAACAGGAUUAGAUACCCCUGUAGUC